GACGAACCGUACGAACGUUAUUCGGAAUUACUGGGCUUAAAGGGUGCGUAGGCUGCGCGGAAAGUUGGGUGUGAAAUCCCUCGGCUCAACCGAGGAAACUGCCGCCCAAAACUACCGUGCUCGAGGGAGACAGAGGUGAGCGGAACUUAGGGUGGAGCGGUGAAAUGCGUUGAUAUCCUAAGGAACACCCGUGGCGAAAGCGGCUCACUGGGUCUCUUCUGACGCUGAGGCACGAAAGCUAGGGUAGCGAACGGGAUUAAGAAACCCUUGGUA
rnacentral:rRNA from 1 species